rnacentral:lncRNA from 1 species
AUAUAUUAUUGGCGACCAUCUAAUUAAGUACACAUCUACAAUUUUAACAUCAAGUAGUUCUGUAUUUUUGAAACUCUAUCCCAUAACAAAGAAUAUUGAUUGAUUGAAGAUUUAUAUAAUAUAACAAAGAAUAACAGAUUAUAAGACCUUGGUCCUAUAGACUAAACAACGGACAAGUUGCUUAACAAACCCGGAACUCAAAUUCAACACCGAGCGACAAAACAAGGGACAAGUUGCUAGCAACGACCAAUCGAUUUCGUCAUUUUGACACUUCAGCUUGAUAGCGUGGAUAAAACGCACGUGUUUUAAUUCACGAACGUUCGUAGCAAUGAAAAAUCCACAACUUUCAUAUUUUAAUCAGCUUUUUUUAAUCUCCCACU